rnacentral:misc_RNA from 1 species
GAACGCACCUUGCGCUCCUUGGCAUUCCGAGGAGCACGCCUGUUUGAGUGUCGUGAAAUUCUCAACCUACAAAGGGAUCCUUGUGGUUCUCAAGUAGGCUUGGACUUGGAGGUAACAUUGCCAGUGUUUAUAUAAUGUUGGCUCCUCUAAAAUGCAUUAGCUUGGUCUGUUGCAGAUCGGCUCUUCGGUGUGAUAAUUGUCUAUGCCGUGAACCGUGAAGCGUUUUGGCCAGCUUCUAAAUGGGGGGUUCUGCCUUCUUUCAUUUUGUGAAAGGUGCGCAGACCCCGUUUCUAUUGACAUCUGACCUCAAAUCAGGCGGGACUACCCGCUGAACUUAAG